rnacentral:lncRNA from 1 species
GCACACCCCACGGUUCACAGUGGUUACCUAAGAAGAGAGCAGUGGGAAGGGAAGGAGUAGCAGAAAGGUACUUCUUACCUGUGUGCAUUUGAUUUUUUCACAGCGGAUUGCUUGUAUGAUUAGAUUUCUGACAAUGGGGCCAUCAUUGCCACGUGAGAAAUACUCAGGCAGUGUCUCUCUCCACUACAGAAGGAUGGGUCCUGGCUCCUCCUGUAGCUGUGGGAAAAACCAGUCACUUCCAGCUCUAGACCUCAGUGGGAGGUCUCACCCGGACUCACAAUGGCACCGCUUCACGGCCCUCUGCCAGGACCUUGCUCAUCCAAGAUAUUAACAAGUUGUGGCCAUUAUCCGUGGGACGUCUGCAGAGCUUCGAUCCUCCCAGGCGUCAGUGCUGGCUGUCCCUUGGCUUUGCUGAGAGGAUUGAUGGAGAUCAAUCAUGUGGAUAUCUUCAUAAAGGACAAGGGCUGAGGAUCCAGAGGACUGGAGGUACCUCCCUACUCCCUGGGUGGCUAUGCAUGAGUUGAAGGUGUAGGAACAGGAGGGCUGGGGAGGAAUCAACUCACUUAACCUUCCCAAAGCCUGUUAGUUCAGCAGUUAAAUGUGGAACUACAUAUACUAUAGAGAUCAAAUGGUGUAGACUCUGCUUUUAUAAAUGAUGGUAAGAGGCCAAAAACGUUAAGAUAUUGACCCAAAGUUCCAGUGCUCUUGUGUGGGGGCUGGUAUUCGAACCCUAGGCGCUUGACUCCCGGUCAGAAACUUUUCCCUGCACCAUGCUUAGUAAUGCAGCAGACCCUUUUGAUUGUUUCCUGACAUCUUCCUUGCUAAUAAAACCC